rnacentral:rRNA from 1 species
CCUACGGGAGGCAGCAGUGGGGAAUCUUCCGCAAUGGGCGAAAGCCUGAUGCAGCGACGCCGCGUGAGUGAUGAAGGUCUUCGGCUCGUAAACCUCUGUCAGCAGUGAAGAAAGGUCACUGUGCUAAUCAGCAGUUAAUUGACGGUACCUACAAAGGAAGCACCGGCUAACUCCGUGCCAGCAGCCGCGGUAAUACGGAGGGUGCGAGCGUUGAUCGGAAUUACUGGGCGUAAAGCGCUCGCAGGCGGUUCGUUAAGUCAAGGGUGAAAUCCUCGGGCUCAACGUGGGAAUUGCAUUAGAAACUGGCAAACUGGAGUGUGGAAGAGGAGAGUGGAAUUCCAGGUGUAGGAGUGGAAUCCGUAGAUAUAUGGAGGAACAUCAGUGGCGAAGGCGACUAUCUGGCAUAUAACUGACGCUGAGGAGCGAAAGCGUGGGUAGCAAACAGGAUUAGAUACCUGUGUAGUC